rnacentral:rRNA from 4 species
CAUUAAAGAAUUACGGGCUUUCGGGCCUCUAUUCUCACCCUUUGUUUACCACACUUUGUUGCCUUGGCGCCUAGCGCCAGCGGAUCAAAACCCUUGAAUCAUUGCUGUCUGAGUACUAUAUAAUAGUUAAAACUUUCAACAACGGAUCUCUUGGUUCUGGCAUCGAUGAAGAACGCAGCGAAAUGCGAUAAGUAAUGUGAAUUGCAGAAUUCAGUGAAUCAUCGAAUCUUUGAACGCACAUUGCGCCCCCUGGUAUUCCGGGGGGCAUGCCUGUUCGAGCGUCAUUACAACCCUCAAGCUCAGCUUGGUGUUGGGCUCGCCCCGCUUACCCGGGGCUUGCCUCAAAAUCAGUAGCGGCCGCCGUCCGACCUUCAGCGCAGUAAUACUCGUCGCUCGGAGGGAAAGACGGUAUCGUUAACCCGAACCCCCACACAAGGUUGAC